AGAGUUUGAUCCUGGCUCAGAUUGAACGCUGGCGGCAUGCCUUACACAUGCAAGUCGAACGGCAGCACGGGGGCAACCCUGGUGGCGAGUGGCGAACGGGUGAGUAAUACAUCGGAACGUGUCCUGUAGUGGGGGAUAGCCCGGCGAAAGCCGGAUUAAUACCGCAUACGCUCUACGGAGGAAAGGGGGGGAUCUUAAGGACCUCCCGCUACAGGGGCGGCCGAUGGCAGAUUAGCUAGUUGGUGGGGUAAAGGCCUACCAAGGCGACGAUCUGUAGCUGGUCUGAGAGGACGACCAGCCACACUGGGACUGAGACACGGUCCAGACUCCUACGGGAGGCAGCAGUGGGGAAUAUUGGACAAUGGGCGCAAGCCUGAUCCAGCAAUGCCGCGUGUGUGAAGAAGGCCUUCGGGUUGUAAAGCACUUUUAUCAGGAGCGAAAU
rnacentral:rRNA from 1 species